rnacentral:siRNA from 1 species
ACGAAGUGAGCACGCUCCGAUGG